rnacentral:lncRNA from 9 species
GCACAUUCAUGCAAGACGUGGGAGGGAGGAGAUCCCUGAGGGAGAAAGUGUAGAGAAAAAAAAACAAAUAAAUAAAUGUCCUAUGAUUUAACUAUGGGAAAAACCUCUGUUUACAGAGUAGGAAGAAGCUGAAUAAUAUUAAUUGCCACCUUGGGCUUCUUCCCCAAAGCACUCUAGAACCGGUUUUUCAAGCACAAAGUGCCCAGACAAGCCACAACAGCCCACAGCACGUUCUCUUCACAGCCUCCCACACCUAUGCCUCGCUCCUUUCUCACCCCUGACUAGUUCCAGGAUCCCUGGUCCACAUUUGGAGGGUGCAGACCCAGGGUAGAAUGUUGUAGAAGAGGAAGAAGUAGUGGGAGCAGGAGAACACAGCAUCUGCACUUGUCCAGCCUUCGGAAGGAGCUGCCAGCCUGAAUGGGAGCGGAGAGCGAACUGCAUGCUCACCGAGAUGACAUGGGGAGUUUGAGAGAAGACAUUCAAAUGAGAAUGUCCCAUAUGCGUUUAGUGCUGUGGUUCAAGAGUUGGACAAGACGUCAGGACUACCACGAUUGGAGACUCAUCAGUAGAGAUUUGACAUUCACAGGAUGGAUAGCAGCCCCCCCCCCCCAAAUCAAAGGUAAGAGCCAAGUGCAGUCCUAUUCAGGAAUCCAGGCUGAAUAUGCUGAGAAAGAGGUCAUUAAUUAACAACAAAAAUCUACUCUAGGGCAGGUUUCUCAACCUUGGCAGGAUUUUAGAAAUACUGGGGAACUUUCAAGAUUACCAGGGUCUGGGCCCCACCCAGACCAGUCAAAUGUGGCUCUCUAGGGCCAUAGCAUUAAUAUUUUUACCAAAUUAAGAUUUGGAGAAGUAUAGCCAAUUCUAGAUAUAUAAAAAAAUUAAAAAAAAUAACUUUAAGCCAGUCUUCUUUACCCUGCACUUUGAGAAGCAACCCCAUUUUCCAGCUUUUUCUACAUAGAAAUGAUAAAUGAAAUAAAGUACAUGCAUAAACUAAUAGUGAUUUUAUCUAUGUAAGAUUUCUGGGUUUUUUUUUUUUCCUGAAAUUUCCAUUUUUAUGAUCUUUUUCCUUUUGUUCAGCAUUUUAGCUGUUUUUGUUGGGAGGUUCUUUCAGGUCAUCUAGUCAAGUCAAUCCUUUUCUUUUUGUCUUUUUUUUUUUCUUUUUUGGCCACCCCACAGCAUAUGGAGUUCCCAGGCCAGGGAUCAGAUCCAAGCCACAGUUGUGACCUACACGGCAGCUGUGGCAACACUGGAUCUUUAACCCAUUGUGCCAGACUGGGGAUCAAACCUGUGUCCUGGCACUAUAGACAUACUGCCAAUGCUCUUGUGCCACAGCAGGAACUUGGUCAGCUAUUUUUAAUAAGAAUUAAAUGUAUUUAUCUAUAAGUGCUCUUUUUCUCAAUUGUGAAUGCUUCUAAAAUUUCAGGGCCUAGUAAAAGAUUUAUUUUUUCCAUUUCUUUGUUUUCUUCACACCAAUUUGGAUGUUGUCCACACCUAAUGCUUUGAGAUGUUCUUAACUUAGGGAAUCUCAGUUUUACUCAUUAUUUGCAACGCCUUUAAAAUUAAAUGUAAAAGAAACCAAUACAAAAGCUUAAACAAAUUUUUCAGAUUCUUUACAUUUUUUCCUGCUUACUUCGCAUUGGAUAGGGAAGGAGUAAGCUUCUAGGAGAUGUUCAUCCUAAGUUCACUUGUGCCCGUCAAGGGGAGUAACGGUGCCUCUGUCUCCCCAGUUGCUCUGAGUAAUGAUAUCGGCUUUUCAUCUGAAAUAUUUUUUCAGAUGUGAAUUUGGAUGGGUAGAUGCAACCUACUGAAAUCAUCAUAUAUAUAGAUAAGGCUAGGAUUUUGCACAAUUAACCCAGUCAUUCACCCAUCCUAUAGAACAACUUAUCCCAGAUACAAACCAGAAUGAUUUUAACUAAAAGUGUUAAAUACUGAGCAUGAAUUACUGAGUUUAUGUUCUUUGCCAGGCGACAAUAAUAAUGUCUUAUGUUUAUGUCGAGUUUACUAUGUAGUAAGAUUAAGAGACUGAGUCCAGGAAAAGUGAAGUAUCCUAAAAUUAUAUAGCUUGUUCUAAAGAAGGAACAAAUAGCCUGUUAUUAAAUUCUAAAUUAACCUGAGAGAUAAUCUACUAAAAAAAAGAAAUCAACAUGUAGAAAGAUGUUGUAAAUCCUUGAAUAUCAGAAAUUUUGGGGGAGGGGGAAUCAAGAUUUUUAUAUCAUAAGUGUGUUUUCUUCUCUGCACCCUUUUAAAUACACCCUGUAUCCCUAACCUCUCCCCUAUUAAUGUCUGCAUAACAAGUUGUGUGUGUUCCACAUAAGAGCCCUUUGAAUAUUUGGAAGCAGUGACUAGGUUCCCUCGUGUAUUUUUCAGUCCAAGCAGCCCCUUUAUUGAUCUGCUCUUCACAGUGACCUUGCCCUCCUCCUGGUUACUCUCCCCUGAACUCUUAGGGACGCCUUCAUCUUUUCCUGAACUCUGUGCUCUGCAGAAGUAAACAUAUUUCAAAUGAAGUGCAAGCAAAACUAUGGAGAAAUGAAAUAGUGCCUGCUUAGCCUCUCUCUCAUGAUGUUUAUUUCCUAUUGGAAAUUUUCCUAAGUCCCACUCUGUAUUUAUUGCUGAUGUUCUAUGAACAACCUCAAGUCUUUCUCACAGGUCCUGAGGCCAAGCCAUAUGGCUCACACUUUAUGCUCAUUAAUUGCUUGUUCCUUUUUUUUUCUUUUUUUAUCUGUAUAAUGAUUUUUAUUUUUUCCAUUAGCUGGUGUACAGUGUUCUGUCAAUUUUCUACUACACAGCAAGGUGACCCACAUACAUGUAUACAUUCUUUUUUCUCACAUUAUCAUGCUCCAUAAUAAGGGACUAGACAUAGUUCCCAGUGCUAUACAGCAGGAUCUCAUUGCUUAUCCAUUCCAAAAGCAAUAGUUUGCAUCUAUUAAUCCCAAAUUUGUUUUUUAUAAGGUAUUAGACAGCUUUAAAGUCCCUUUUAACUCGCCUACAGAGAGGCCUAGACAUGGUAAAAGAAAAGCGCAUGGAACCAAAUUCCACACAAAAUUCACUGAAGGAGAUCCCACUUUGGCUCAGUGGGUUAAGAACCUGACAUAGCAUCUGUGAGGAUGCGAAUUUGAUCUCUGGCCUCGCCCAGUGGGUUAAGGAUCUGCAUUGCCACAAGCUGCGGUAUAAAUCACAGAUGCAGCUUAGAUAUGACAUUGCUGUGGCUGUGGUGUAGGCUAGCAGCUACAACUCCAAUUUGAUGCCUUGCCUGGGAACCUCCAUAUGCCACAGGUGCAGCCAUAAAAAGAAAAAGAAAAAGAAAUUUACUGAAGAAAAUAGAAUACCACUGUCAAACAUUAAGCCUCAGUGUUGACUCUAUAUGAAGAUUUCAGAAAAUUUAUGAUAAUUGUAAUACGAAAGAAAUACUUUCAAGUGAUCCUUUUGUCUCCAUAAAGGAUUUCUAAAGUCAUCAUGGGAUAAGGUGCCCUUGCAAAGUUACAAAACCGAGCCAUUUCCUCUAGUAAUGUGUCCUUUCUUAUAAAGGCUAGUUUCCAUUUAUAGAGGAAGGGUAACUGGUAUUUUUAUCAUCUCAUCAGGAGGCAAAAUUCACACCGCAUUUUACACAUAGACAGGGGUUUGGCAGGAUGAAGAAACUUACAAGUUUCUUCAAGCAGGAGUCAAGCCUACAUGAUCUCAAACAGCAGCUCGCACCAUCGGAAUGAGUGGAUCGAACAAAGCCUGUAAGAUUGUGAUGGUGCAGAGUUGCUUACGGAAGCGAAUGAGGAUGAUCAAAGUUGAACUAGAGGCCAAAAGUAAAGAAAAGAUAGAGUAAAAAGGAGGAGAAGUAGCCAAUUGAGGUGAGAAAAGUAAUAACUGUCCAAACGAUAAAGUUACAGAGUCAAGGGUUAGCCAGGGGUUAGAAGUAGGAAGAAUAAAGGAUGAUUUAACACAAGAAGGAGAAUAAUUCACAGAAAAUUGCCAUGAAUAUAACAAUCAAGGGUGCAGGAGCUAAGAACUCCUGUUUCUUAGAAGACUUUUUAAUACACAGAUAUUUUCUCACAUUUAAUAUUGGCUUAGUAUAAAAUUAAGAAAUGUUUUUCUUUCAGGAGUCCUGGCUAAGUGAGCUGAAGAAAAGGUUAUCUAUCAAGAAGAAAGCAUGAUUCCUCAGCCUUGGCAGCACAUUAGCAUCAUCUGGAGAACUUUAAAAACUGAUUUUUUUUCCUUCAUUUGAUUUCUUUUCUAAUUGAUUUAACUUUGUAAGGGUGGAAUUAAAAAAAAAAAAAAAACAGUAAUGCUUUCUUUUCCAUUUAAAGCUAUGCUCAACAAAGUCAUUACUAGACCUGCGGAAAAUUACCUCUCUCAUUUUAUUGAAUUUUCCUGGAGUGUUUGAACCUUAAGACAGCUUCCUUCCCUUGCAACUUCCUUAUAAUUUUCAUUUUGAAUUUUUUAUGGAGUCACAGUGAAAUGCUUCUUCAGUAUUUCUAUACUGAAUCAACACUGAUUCCCUAUUCAAAUGAUGUUCCCAUUGAGAAAGACACACUAAUUUCAAGAUCUAUACAGCUAAACAAAGUCUCAAGUUCAAGUUUCCCACCACUUUCAACAGACUGUGGAAAAUAAAAAUACUAAUUAAAAUACAGAAAUGAAACUACUGGUUUCUGGGAAAAGCAUGACUUUCAGAGAAAAAUAAGAUGCUUUGCAUGAAAAUAUAUUCCCACUAAAAAUAUAAUUUUUCACGAAAUUAUACCUUUGUUGCCAUGUGGCUGGUGAUCUCAAAUUUAUAUUAAAUGUUUCUUCCUAAACCACUUAAAUUUAAAUAUCAAGUUUUUGUACUUCCAGUACUGAGAUACAAAUAAAACUGCAUUUAGAAU